GGUCAGAUGGCCGAGCGGUCCAAGGCGCCAGACUAAGGAUCUGGUCUCGACAGAGGCGAGGGUUCGAAUCCCUCUCUGGCCA
rnacentral:tRNA from 1 species